rnacentral:rRNA from 1 species
GUCCUUUAGUAUUAUUUAAGGUCAGGCCUGCCCAAUGAUUAAUUAAAUGGCCGCAGUAUUUUGACUGUGCAAAGGUAGCAUAAUCAUUAGUUUCUUAAUUAGAAGCUGGUAUGAAGGGUUCGAUGAAAAAUUAACUGUCUUUUUUAAAAUUUUAGAAUUUUAUUUUUGAGUUAAAAAGCUUAAAUUUUUUAUAAAGACGAGAAGACCCUAUAGAGUUUUACAGUUUUUUGAUUAUGAUUUAAAGGUUUAUUUUUAUUUAGAUUUAAUUUUCUGAUUUAUUGGGGUGAUUAGAAAAUUAAAUUAACUUUUCUUAGGUUUUACAUUUAUAAGUGUUUUUAUGAUCCUUUAUUUAGGAUUUUAAGAUUAAAUUACCUUAGGGAUAACAGCGUAAUUCUUUUUGAGAGUUCUUAUUAAAAAAAGAGUUUGCGACCUCGAUGUUGGAUUAAAAUAAAUGUUAGGUGCAGAAGCUUAACUAUUAGGUCUGUUCGACCUUUAAAAUUUUACAUGAUCU